UUUUUCUCUUUUGACUAUUUUCUUGCUUUCUUGUGGCCUUCAUUUGUGCUUGAUCCUUAGCCACUUGGGUAGGAGUCAAAGGAUGAAGCACAAACUUCUUGUCCUUUUGAUGGAUAGUGAUAGUAUUGGUUAGACCAUGAUGGAUAGUUUGAUGAUCAAAUUGCCAUGGUCUCCCCAAUAACACAUGACAUGCUUCCAUGGGAACUAUAUCACAUAAAACUUCAUCUUUGAAGUUCCCAAUGGAAAAUGCCAAUUUCACUUGAUUCUUGACUAUUAUAUCCCCAUCUUCAUUUAGCC
rnacentral:lncRNA from 1 species